AACGAACGCUGGCGGCAGGCUUAACACAUGCAAGUCGAGCGAGACCUUCGGGUCUAGCGGCGGACGGGUGAGUAACGCGUGGGAACGUGCCCUUCUCUACGGAAUAGCCCCGGGAAACUGGGAGUAAUACCGUAUACGCCCUUUGGGGGAAAGAUUUAUCGGAGAAGGAUCGGCCCGCGUUGGAUUAGGUAGUUGGUGGGGUAAUGGCCCACCAAGCCGACGAUCCAUAGCUGGUUUGAGAGGAUGAUCAGCCACACUGGGACUGAGACACGGCCCAGACUCCUACGGGAGGCAGCAGUGGGGAAUCUUAGACAAUGGGGGCAACCCUGAUCUAGCCAUGCCGCGUGAGUGAUGAAGGCCUUAGGGUUGUAAAGCUCUUUCAGCUGGGAAGAUAAUGACGGUACCAGCAGGAGAAGCCCCGGCUAACUCCGUG
rnacentral:rRNA from 1 species